UUUUUUGUUGUGUUGUAAAGGGUAUGAGGUUGAUAUUUUAAGGGGGAAAAGAGAAAAUGAAAAAGAAAGAAUGGUGACAAAAAAAUUGGAUAAUGAAAUAAUAAAACAAAAAUUGAUACCAUAGCACUAAAUUUAGCUCCCACAUUGAAAGCAUGCAUGGAAUAUGGUCAUGGUUGAAUAAAUGCAGCAGCAAUCAUGAAAGAAACAGCUGGUUCCUACAUGUAUAUCAACAUCCGGGCAAUCCAACUCCAAAUACAAAAGCAACAAAAAAGUCCAUUGGGUAUUUCUCUGGCAAAACACCUGCGUUCGAUAGGAGCUAAGAUUUUUGGAGCUUUCUUGUGUUCUCAUUGCUUAGAACAGAAACAGGAACCUGCAUCAGUGAUACAGGACAAGAUUUUAUUUAUGAUUAAUAAUAUUUCAGCUUCAAAUAUGGAUGUGAAAGCAAAAGAAUUUAGUGAUGUCCUGAAAAAGCAGUACUAUCCAUGGUUUGCUCAGUAUAUGGUGAUGAAAAGUUCUUGGAGAAAGUUAAUUCAAGAUUGCUGAAUAAGGAGAUUGUCAAAGCUACUUAUGAGAAUUGCAAGGUGCCUUGGCAAAACUUUUUUGUUACCCCUGGUUGUCAUUGUCACCACACACAUUUUCCAAUCUCCCAUAGACACGGACGAAUGAGGUCCAGCCAGAGCUUCUACAAGGGACGUUCAAGUGCUUGGAAUGCAGUUUUGUCAUCAGGAAUGUCGAAUAACAAUUCAAAUACACUGAGGGAAUUGAUUAUUUGAAGUAUGAUAACUGCUGGAAUGGUGGUACUAGGCCAACAAUUCGGACAUCUACAUGAGGGCCAUCUGAUGGAUAGCUUGGAUCUUACCAACAUUGCCACAUCGACACAUGUGGAGGCGUGUGAGUUGAGUCAGCUGGCAGACAAAUUCCCAUUGCCUUCCUGGAGCAGGUUAAGGAUGAUUUCAACAAGUACGGAGGAGGAAAAGCUGCCACUGCUGUUGCUAACAGCCUCAACAAGGAGUUUGGGUCCAAACUGAAAGAGCACAUGCAGUAUUGUGUGGAUCAUCUAGAGGAGUU